rnacentral:rRNA from 1 species
UUCAAUGUUUAAAAUAUAAAUGCAUUUCAGAAGCUAAGCAGGGUCAGGCCUGGUUAGUACUUGGAUGGGAGACCACUUAUAGGAAUACUGGGUGCUGUAGGCU